AGUUCGAUGGGAUCGAUCGCGCGGGUGACGACGAGAUAGUCGCGCAACGCCAUGCCGUGGCGGUUCUC
rnacentral:sRNA from 1 species